rnacentral:rRNA from 1 species
UGGGGGAUAUUGCACAAUGGGCGAAAGCCUGAUGCAGCGACGCCGCGUGGGGGAUGAAGGCUUUCGGGUUAUAAACCUCUUUCGCUAUCGAACAAGGCCCGCUUAGGGUGGGUUGAGGGUAGGUGGAGAAGAAGCGCCGGCUAACUACGUGCCAGCAGCCGCGGUAAUACGUAGGGCGCGAGCGUUGUCCGGAAUUAUUGGGCGUAAAGGGCUUGUAGGCGGCUUGUUGCGCCUGCUGUGAAAACGCGGGGCUUAACUUCGCGCGUGCAGUGGGUACGGGCAGGCUUGAGUGUGGUAGGGGUGACUGGAAUUCCAGGUGUAGCGGUGGAAUGCGCAGAUAUCUGGAGGAACACCGAUGGCGAAGGCAGGUCACUGGGCCAUUACUGACGCUGAGGAGCGAAAGCAUGGGUAGCGAACAGG